AACGAACGCUGGCGGCAGGCCUAACACAUGCAAGUCGAACGCUGUAGCAAUACAGAGUGGCAGACGGGUGAGUAACGCGUGGGAACCUUCCCAAUGGUGCGGAAUAGCCCAGGGAAACUUGGGGUAAUACCGCAUAAGCCCUUAGGGGGAAAGAUUUAUCGCCAUUGGAUGGGCCCGCGUCGGAUUAGCUAGUUGGUGAGGUAAUGGCUCACCAAGGCAACGAUCCGUAGCUGGUUUGAGAGAAUGACCAGCCACACUGGGACUGAGACACGGCCCAGACUCCUACGGGAGGCAGCAGUGGGGAAUCUUGGACAAUGGGCACAAGCCUGAUCCAGCCAUGCCGCGUGAGUGACGAAGGCCUUAGGGUUGUAAAGCUCUUUUGCCGGGGACGAUAAUGACGGUACCCGGAGAAUAAGUCCCGGCUAACUUCGUGCCAGCCGCCGCAGUAA
rnacentral:rRNA from 1 species